UAUUUCGGGCCCAUUUUGCCUCUGAUAUCUAGGCCUCCACCAUAGUUCUUAGCUAUUGUAGCUCCACUUCUAUAGGCAAUACUACUUCCAUCCUGUAAAAUAAUGAAUAUAAUGCUGCCCCUGUCGAAGUACGGAUAAACGUUCUAUAACCCUAAAGAGCAUACAGGAGCAGCUCAGCCGGGUCCUUGUAAGUCUAUACCGUUUUGGCCAAUAUCUUCUUUACAUUUUAUUGACCGGCUCUACUAUACCAUUGGCUUGUGGUAUGUAGGGUGAAG
rnacentral:lncRNA from 1 species